CUGGUGACAAAUGACCCCAGUGAAGGUCGACACUGGGACAAGGACAAGACAAGUCUGCUCACAGGAAACAAUCCUUCCCUUGAGUAUUACAAGGUGUGCAAUGUCCGGCCACCAUUAACGUAUGCCGCGCUUAUCCGAUGGGCCAUCCUGGAAUCACCGAGCCGACAGCUGCCGUUAAACGAUAUCUACCGCUGGUUCACCAGUCACUUUGCUUACUUCCGCUACAAC